UUUUUAAUUGGGAUCUUGUAUGAAUGAUUGGACAAGAGAAAUACUGUCUUUGUAUUAAAACUUGAAUUUAACUUUUAAGUGAAAAGGCUUAAAUACACUAAAGGGACGAUAAGACCCUAUAAAACUUUACAUUUAUGUUAAAUUUUAUGGAAUUUGAAGAUUAUAAUUAUUAAAUUUAAUUUUUUGUUAUGUUGGGGAGACAAAAGCUAUAAUUAUAUAUAACUGCUUUUAAGAGAAACAAAAAUAAGUGAAGAGAUUAGGGAUCCUUUAUUAAGAUUAUAAGAUUAAGUUACUUUAGGGAUAACAGCGUUAUUUUUUUUGAGAGUUCAUAUUGAAAAAAAAGAUUGCGACCUCGAUGUUGAAUUAAAAUAUCUUUAUAAUGCAGGUGUUAUAAAAGAAGGUCUGUUCGACCUUUAAUUUU
rnacentral:rRNA from 1 species